AUUGAACGCUGGCGGCAUGCCUUACACAUGCAAGUCGAACGGCAGCACGGGUGCUUGCACCUGGUGGCGAGUGGCGAACGGGUGAGUAAUACAUCGGAACAUGUCCUGUAGUGGGGGAUAGCCCGGCGAAAGCCGGAUUAAUACCGCAUACGAUCCACGGAUGAAAGCGGGGGACCUUCGGGCCUCGCGCUAUGGGGUUGGCCGAUGGCUGAUUAGCUAGUUGGUGGGGUAAAGGCCUACCAAGGCGACGAUCAGUAGCUGGUCUGAGAGGACGACCAGCCACACUGGAACUGAGACACGGCCCAGACUCCUACGGGAGGCAGCAGUGGGGAAUUUUGGACAAUGGGCGAAAGCCUGAUCCAGCAAUGCCGCGUGUGUGAAGAAGGUCUUCGGGUUGUAAAGCACUUUUGUCCGGAAAGAAAUGCAUUACUCUAAUACAGUCGGGGGAUGACGGUACCGGAAGAAUAAGCACCGGCUAACUACGUG
rnacentral:rRNA from 1 species